CAAUAGCGUAUAUUAAAGUUGUUGCAGUUAAAAGCUCGUAGUUGGAUUUCGGGGUGGCCUGGCUGGUCCGCCGCAAGGUGAGUACUGGUCAGCCGCCCUUCCUCUCGAAAGCCCCGACUGCUCUUUACUGCAGUGGUCGGGUAGUUCGGGACGUUUACUUUGAAAAAAUUAGAGUGUUCAAGGCAGGCUAUCGCCUGAAUACAUUAGCAUGGAAUAAUGGAAGAGGACCUCGGUCCUAUUUUGUUGGUUUCUAGGGCCGAAGUAAUGAUUAAGAGGGACAGUUGGGGGCAUUCGUAUUUAAUUGUCAGAGGUGAAAUUCUUGGAUUUAUGAAAGACGAACUAGUGCGAAAGCAUUUGCCAAGGAUGUUUUCAUUAA
rnacentral:rRNA from 1 species